AGGAAUGUAUAGAGAGGAUCCUGAGCUAAGGGACUCUGAGACAAAGAAUAGUAAGAUAUGAGCCCCGACUUCAACUCAUCUUGCACGUACCCCUUUAUGAAAGUGAAAAUGUAACAGGCCAAAUCUCUUAUCCCUGUCUGAAACAAUACUGAAAGAUGAAAUAGCAUACUACUCUGAUUCAUAUGUCAUGGAAAAUUAGUGAAUUUGGAAAUGAGCAAAUACAAAUUUGAAUGUUUUUUUUUUUAACAUUCCAGGGAGAUCGUGGAAAGGAUGGGCACAAAUACCCAGGCCCUAGAGGCAUACAGGGAGACAGAGGAGAAUCUGGUUUGCCAGGACUUCAGGGCCCAAGAGGAUUCUUUGGGGAGAAAGGAACACAAGGACCAAAUGGACCCAACGGACAACCAGUAUGUGUAGUAGACAAAAAAAUUUGGACGCUGUGAUUAUUUGUUGGAAUUGGCAAAAAAAAGUGGCGUCUUGGAAUUAACCAAAAUGCUUUUGAAAAGCUCCAGUGAAACUAGAAGGGCGCUUGGAGAGCGUGGGCCUCCACCAAGGCCAAAUGUCCUAUCUCACAGUGUUUAGGAGAGUGAAAACAAAAUUCUUGGAUCCACCGAGUAGUCUAAUACUUUUCUUGUUAAUAAUUUCA